rnacentral:rRNA from 1 species
GACGAACGCUGGCGGCGUGCUUAACACAUGCAAGUCGAACGGAAAGGCCCUGCUUUUGUGGGGUGCUCGAGUGGCGAACGGGUGAGUAACACGUGAGUAACCUGCCCUUGACUUUGGGAUAACUUCAGGAAACUGGGGCUAAUACCGGAGAGGAGCUCCUGCUGCAUGGUGGGGGUUGGAAAGUUUCGGCGGUUGGGGAUGGACUCGCGGCUUAUCAGCUUGUUGGUGGGGUAGUGGCUUACCAAGGCUUUGACGGGUAGCCGGCCUGAGAGGGUGACCGGCCACAUUGGGACUGAGAUACGGCCCAGACUCCUACGGGAGGCAGCAGUGGGGAAUAUUGCACAAUGGGCGGAAGCCUGAUGCAGCAACGCCGCGUGCGGGAUGACGGCCUUCGGGUUGUAAACCGCUUUCGCCUGUGACGAAGCGUGAGUGACGGUAAUGGGUAAAGAAGCACCGGCUAACUACGUG